UGUGAGGGGGGGAAGGCGGAGGGCUUUCCGAGAUGGUGGUUUUCACCAGGGGAACAGGCUACCACACACAGCUGCCUCUCAUGAAUUUGGGAUGGGAAAUCAAAGAGGAGGAGCUGUAACACAUCCCUGGGUCAGUGCCAAAAGAAGAUAAAGGAACAGCUGCAAGAUACUGCAGAGUGAAGAAUGGUAAUUCAGCAGAAGCCAGAAAUCAAACCCAGAGGUACCAAGAGAAUGGGAAGCCCAGAAGUAUCUCAGGGAGUUUGGGAGAGCACCAACUUCCCAUAACACAUGGGAUGAGGUUUCCAGGUGAGUUUAUUAAACUGCAAGGUGGUAUUUGACUUCACAAAUAAUCUAAGAGCCACUGACAAUAGGAUUCUGCUGAUAAAUAUUAAUCACCCCUCACCAUAGUAUUAGUGAAAACUCUCAUUAGAGAUGAUAGGUGCAACAGACAAUGUCUGUGUCCUCCCCCUGACAAAUUCGAUUCAAUGAGAAGACAGCAGUCUGCAAUCCAGAAGAGGACCCUCACCAGAAUGCAACCCUGCCAGCAUGCUGAUCUAGGAUUUCUAGCCUUCCAAACUGCGAGAAAUAAAUUUCAUUUGUAUAUAAGCCAUCCAGUCUGUGGUGCUUUGUCAUACCAGCCCCAAAUGACUAAAACAAUAGGUGGUGUGUGUUUCGAUUUUGAUCCUCUCCUUUGAUCAUUCCAUCCUGCUUUAUUUGUUUCUGUUUUCCCCUGUGGUUCCAUACUCCAAUGUAAACCAUGUUGGCCACAGUGAUAGAUCACUGUUUUUUAUUAUUUUUAGAGUUGGUUAGCCAGAACAAUAAAAAUUAAAUUUAUCAAAUCUAUGUAGUAUGAGCAGGCUAGUGAAAACUAAAAUUUAAAUAAUAAUAGAAAAGCCUAAAGUUAGCUGGAAAGAGCAUAUCCAAUUCAGCUAAAUCACUUAUUCAUUGAAUUCAACAAAUACUCUGUGCCAAAUACUCUGCUAGGUUCUGGAACUUUGAAUAUGAAAAAACCCAGUUGUCCCUCUCCAUGAGUUCACAGUUCAGUGGGGAUACAAAAGCAAAUACUUAUGAUACAAUGUAGGAAGUGCAAAAUAUAAAAACAAUCAUGGCUUUUAUGAGAUCACUGAAGAAAGAGGCACUUAGUG
rnacentral:lncRNA from 10 species